rnacentral:rRNA from 1 species
AUUGAACGCUGGCGGCAUGCCUUACACAUGCAAGUCGAACGGCAGCGGGGGAGAAGCUUGCUUUUCCUGCCGGCGAGUGGCGAACGGGUGAGUAAUACAUCGGAACGUGCCCUGUAGUGGGGGAUAACUAGUCGAAAGAUUAGCUAAUACCGCAUACGACCUGAGGGUGAAAGUGGGGGACCGCAAGGCCUCAUGCUAUAGGAGCGGCCGAUGUCUGAUUAGCUAGUUGGGGGGGUAAAGGCCUACCAAGGCGACGAUCAGUAGCUGGUCUGAAAGGACGAUCAGCCACACUGGGACUGAGACACGGCCCAGACUCCUACGGGAGGCAGCAGUGGGGAAUUUUGGACAAGGGGCGAAAGCCUGAUCCAGCAAUGCCGCGUGUGUGAAGAAGGCCUUCGGGUUGUAAAGCACUUUUGUCCGGAAAGAAAUGGCUCUGGUUAAUACCUGGGGUCGAUGACGGUACCGGAAGAAUAAGGACCGGCUAACUACGUGCCAGCAGCCGCCGUAA